AUUACUUUUACAUAAAACACACACGAAAGAGGCAAGUGUACCCCAUCAUAUAUGUAUAUCGGUAAGAACCAAGUAUCGAUCCAAGGAAAUGGGCGGAGAAAUAAUACUAGACCUUUGUCACUAAACUACCGGUAAAAACAUAAGUUGUGUGAUUUUAAUAAACCAAGGUAAGCAUAAAUAAAUACUUAUAAAACAUAGUAGAUUUCAAAUACUAAAAUAGAUAAAUAGCCUUGCUUAAUACACAACCAAAGCAUGUCAACUAAGUCGGUUUUGGCACUAGAAGCAUUCGGUCAAUUUUCCAUUUUUAAGACAAUUAGUAUCCCUUUCGGGAAUCCUAACAUGACAAUCAUACGGAAAGCUAAAACGAUAAACAAACUUUAACCACCUAAAAUUGUUCUUUAACGUGCAAUUGAUAGAUGUCUAUGAAAAUCUCCUAAAAAUAAGUUAGUCAUCCGUUAGGAGUUUUCUAACCGCACUUAAUCAAGGAAAGCGACACCGAUAAACACAAUGCAACCACCGAGACAAGCAUAAACUAGAUUAAAUCGCAACCGAGUUCAUUUUACAAAUCUUGCACAUAA
rnacentral:lncRNA from 1 species